rnacentral:misc_RNA from 1 species
AACAUCGCGCACCUGCGGGAACCUGCGGAGGGAUCAUUACAGAGUUGCAAAACUCCCUAAACCAUUGUGAACGUUACCUAAACCGUUGCUUCGGCGGGCGGCCCGGGUCCUUCCCGGCGCCCCUCGGCCCUCGCGGGCGCCCGCCGGAGGUAAACCAAACUAUUGCAUUGUAUGGCCUCUCUGAGUCCUCUGUACUGAAUAAGUCAAAACUUUCAACAACGGAUCUCAGAUCGGAAGAGC